GUGUCAGCAGCCGCGGUAAUACAGAGGGUGCGAGCGUUGUCCGGAAUCACUGGGCGUAAAGGGCGCGUAGGUGGUUGGGGAAGCGUGUGGUGAAAGCCCGGGGCUCAACCCCGGGUCGGCCAUGCGAACUGCCCGACUGGAGCAUGGUAGAGGCCAAUGGAAUUCCGGGUGUAGCGGUGGAAUGCGUAGAGAUCCGGAAGAACACCGGUGGCGAAGGCGGUUGGCUGGGCCAUGGCUGACACUGAGGCGCGACAGCGUGGGGAGCAAACAGGAUUAGAUACCCUAGUAGUCC
rnacentral:rRNA from 1 species